rnacentral:rRNA from 1 species
AUUGAACGCUGGCGGCAUGCCUUACACAUGCAAGUCGAACGGCAGCGCGGGGCAACCUGGCGGCGAGUGGCGAACGGGUGAGUAAUAUAUCGGAACGUACCCUGGAGCGGGGGAUAACGUAGCGAAAGUUACGCUAAUACCGCAUACGAUCUAUGGAUGAAAGCAGGGGACCGCAAGGCCUUGUGCUCCUGGAGCGGCCGAUAUCUGAUUAGCUAGUUGGUGGGGUAAAGGCCUACCAAGGCAUCGAUCAGUAGCUGGUCUGAGAGGACGAGCAGCCACACUGGAACUGAGACACGGUCCAGACUCCUACGGGAGGCAGCAGUGGGGAAUUUUGGACAAUGGGCGCAAGCCUGAUCCAGCGAUGCCGCGUGAGUGAAGAAGGCCUUCGGGUUGUAAAGCUCUUUUGUCAGGGAAGAAACGGUGGGGGCUAAUAUCCUUCACUAAUGACGGUACCUGAAGAAUAAGCACCGGCUAACUACGUGCCAGCCGCCGCCGUAAAAC